rnacentral:rRNA from 1 species
AUGGCGGGCAACGAGGGGCUGAUCGAGCCCGCGCCGGCGCCCGAGCUCGCGCUGCUGCCGCAGCCGCAGGCGCCGGCGCAGGGGGCGACUCCCGCGAGCGCGCGGACGAAGCCGCGGGGCCGGCCGCCCGGGUCGAGGAACAAGCCGAAGCCGCCGGUGGUGGUGGUGAGGGAGAGCGCGGGGGCGAUGUGGCCGGUGGUGCUGGAGCUGGCCGCGGGUUGCGACGUGGCUGGCGCGGUGGCGGCCUUCGCGCGGCGCCGCGGGGUGGGCGUGUCCGUGCUAUGCGGCCGCGGCGCGCUCGCCGCAGUCACGCUGCGGCUGUCGACCUCGGCAGGUACCUCACGCGCGGUCCGGCUGGAUGGGCGGUUCGACGUGCUGUCGCUCUCCGGGACGGUGCUGCCGGCGGCCGGCGAGGGCGCGGGCGCGGCCCCGACGCCGUUCUCGGUGUCGCUCGCGGGGGGCGACGGGCAGGUGGUCGGCGGCACGCUCGCCGGGGAGAUGACGGCCGCGGACGGCGGCGUCGUGCUGGUGGCCGCCACGUUCGUCACCGCCGAGGUGCACCGGCUGCCCGCGGUGGAGGCCGAGGCGGCGGUCGAAGGCGAUGAUGGCCGGGGCGGUCGUCAGCAGCAGCAACACCAGCAGCAGGCGAUGGUGGCCGCGAGCGCCGCCGACGUGGGCCACGUCGCUGCCUACGGCGGAGUUCCGGGCUGGGGCCCCGGCGGCCAUCCAGGCCAGGUGGGGCACUACGCGCAGCAUGCCGAGCAGAUGCUCUCGCCGUGGGGCGUGUUCCCAGACUCACGCGCCGCCCCGAACCAUCCUGCGAGCUCGAGUCAUCACCAUUACUUGUAG